UAUCCUACGGGACGCAGCAGUAGGGAACAUUGCUCAAUGGGGGAAACCCUGAAGCAGCAACGCCGCGUGGAGGAUGAAGGUUUUCGGAUUGUAAACUCCUUUUGUUAGAGAAGAUAAUGACGGUAUCUAACGAAUAAGCACCGGCUAACUCCGUGCCAGCAGCCGCGGUAAUACGGAGGGUGCAAGCGUUACUCGGAAUCACUGGGCGUAAAGAUCGCGUAGGCGGGAUAGCAAGUCAGAUGUGAAAUCCUAUGUCUUAAUCAUAGAACUGCAUUUGAAACUGUUAUUCUA
rnacentral:rRNA from 1 species